GGAAUGUAGCUCAGUGGCAAAGCAUAUACUUAGCAUGCACAAGGCCCUGGGUUUGAUCCCCAGCACCA
rnacentral:tRNA from 1 species